rnacentral:lncRNA from 1 species
CGUUAAGGUAAUUAUACUGGACUGGUAGAACGGAAUACGUACUAUCGAUUAUUAUAACGUAUUGUUACCAAAGUUAAAGGUGAAUACGCACUAAUUGAGUAUUAUGUUGACGCAUGGAUUUGAGGUUAAGUUGUAAGACAAUAAUGCAGUCAAAAGCUUGUAGAGGAUCAUGAAACGAAAUUUAAAAAGUGGCAUAUCAGCUGAGCUGCUUGCAGAUAAUCUAUUUGGGACUGUCGAACUGUGACCACAUUAGAUCUUCACUUGUGGACUAUUACUUCUUCAGGGCACUGAUUGUCAUCUGUAAACAACGGAAUCUUGAACAUCAUUUUGUGAUCAUUCCAAGAACCAAUUUCUGCUCUUAUAAAUGGAGUCUACAGUUGCUGUGUCCAUACAAGAUCUACCUCCAGAAAUAAUUGAAAUCAUUGCAACUUAUCUGGGAGGUGACGAUCUCCAUAGUUGUUUCAGUGUCUUUAGGGAUUGGGAAAGGAAUUUAAACUCAAACAAGUUUUGGAAAAAACUCUGUGUUUAUCCUGAAAAGUAUUUUAAAACUGCAGGAUGUACUUUAGGGUCUAGAGGUAACAAAGACUAUGAAGAGGUAUGUUUUUGGAAGAAAAGUUAUGAUCGUCAAAAGUUGCUUUGGGAUAACUGGAGUAAGGGACGAUUUACAAAGAAAAAGACUGAUAUGUGUCUGUCAAUGUUAAGUUAUUUAGUUUAUUUUGUUGAUAACUUUGGAAAUUAUUGGUUACUAUAUUCCAAUUAUGAUGAUGGUAUAUCAGUUUGGAAAAUAGAUGAAAUCCCAGACUUUCAUUGUAAACUUGACGAAAAAGAUCAGUUUGGUAUAGUGCCUAUUAAGAAUAAACUUUUAACACACGUUACAGAUUAUAUACAGAUUUUUGAGUUUAAACCUCCAGAAAAUGAGCUCCUGCUUCAGUAUAGGUUCAAAUUCAAUGAAGACACUAUCAUACCUAAAGAUAAUGUGUUUAUAAAUGAGUAUGUUUUGCAGUCAACGAUUCAUUAUUGUUGAUAAUUUCUUAAUCGGUUACUGUGAAAAUAUCACAGAUUUCAUUCACACUUAUGUUCACAUUUGGGACUGUGAUUCAGGUGAAAAAGUAGCAACACAAAGUAUUUUUCAGCACUCAUUUGUUGAUUACAUGUUAUCAUCAACUGGCAUUGACAUCACUAAAGAUUUUGAUGGAGGAGGUUUGUUGCUUUUUGAAAGUGAUUCCAGACGAUUUCUGGUCAAUACAAUGGCCUGUCCGUAUAAACGAUGUGAAAUAAGUUUGUUUAGUUUGGAUGAGAUGAAGUUUGUCAAUGUAGUGGCUCGCAUAGAGAGUGGUAGUGCUUGGUGUUUCAUGAAGGGAGAUACGAUCUCUAUCUUAUAUAUAAGCGAUUGGUACCAAGUGUCUGUGUACAAUACCAGAGGCAAAUUCUUGGCUAAGUUGGAUUUCCCUGGUUUACGACUUAAUCCUCAUCUAAAUAAUAGGUUUUGGAUGACAAGCACGAAAGUUAUUGUCAUUGUUGAUGAUAUGAUUCAUGUACUGGAUAUUAUUAACUCAGAGAAUGUGUGUGAAAGAAGUUUCACUACCAACACAGAUAAGUUUAUACUUGGGUAUGUUGAACCAAGAUUUUUAUUGUUGUGUGAAAAAGUCAUCUUAACUACCUUGGAUGUUAGUAGUAUAUAUGUAAAUAUCUGGGACAUUGAGUCUGGCUUAAAACUGUGGGACUUAGGACACUUAGAAAGUAUUGAUUCAUGUCGUUUUCUGUUUGCUUCAUCAGUCUAUCCAAGUAAAGUAAUUGUACAAUUUUCAGGUGAGGAAGAAGUGAGCAUGUUGGAUUUUGAAGGUGAAUAAGAUAUUUGACAAGUCAUUUUGAGUGAAAUAACUAAAUUAUAUUAUAGAUUUAAGUAUAAUUAAAAGUAAUUAUUUUAUUAGAAAAGAGUCUAGAAGUAUUUUAAUAACACAUUGAAUCCUUUUGUGAUUUUAAAAAAUUUUGAAAAUUAUGAAGACAUUGUUUAAACCUAACAUAUUAUAUAUCAAAUAUUAAAGUGGAGAAACGCACUUUUAGAAAAUAAAAUAAUUAUCUGAAAAAGUUAUGAGGUAAGCAUAAUUAUGGAAAAAAAUAAAGUUGUUUAAAUUGUAACAUUGUA